UACCGGCAGCACGAGUGAUGGCCGAUUUUAUUGGGCCUAAAGCGUCCGUAGCCGGCCAGACAAGUCCGUUGGGAAAUCGACGCGCUCAACGCGUCGGCGUCCAGCGGAAACUGUCUGGCUUGGGGCCGGAAGACCUGAGGGGUACGUCCGGGGUAGGAGUGAAAUCCCGUAAUCCUGGACGGACCACCGGUGGCGAAAGCGCCUCAGGAAGACGGACCCGACGGUGAGGGACGAAAGCUAGGGUCUCGAACCGG
rnacentral:rRNA from 1 species